rnacentral:rRNA from 1 species
AACGAACGCUGGCGGCAUGCCUAACACAUGCAAGUCGAACGGGAUCCUGGUUUCGGCCAGGUGAGAGUGGCGGACGGGUGAGUAACGCGUGGGAACCUGCCCAGUGGUGGGGGAUAACUGCGGGAAACUGCAGCUAAUACCGCAUGAGCCCGAAAGGGGAAAGAUUGAUCGCCAUUGGAGGGGCCCGCGUUCGAUUAGGUAGUUGGUGAGGUAACGGCUCACCAAGCCUUCGAUCGANAGCUGGUCUGAGAGGAUGAUCAGCCACACUGGGACUGAGAUACGGCCCAGACUCCUACGGGAGGCAGCAGUGGGGAAUAUUGGACAAUGGGGGCAACCCUGAUCCAGCAAUGCCGCGUGAGUGAUGAAGGCCUUCGGUUGUAA